AGCCAAUAAUGACAUGAGAAGGUGAGUAAACUCCUUGUUAUAAUGAGGAGAGUGGCUGAGAAUUUGCAGAAAUCAUGAAGCCUUUUGGACGGUCCAUAAAUCCUGGAGUGAAAUGGCCUAGUCCAAAGACGUUUACAUCCUGGAAGAGAACUUGCUGGCUUUUCACCUCAGCAUGUAUGGGCCAAACUAAUAUAACAAGAAGUCUUGAGAGGAGUCAGCGGCCAAGCUCCAUGUCUUGCAGCCAAACAAUGCUGUGGGAUGGAAGGUGGGAUGUCAUGUGUCUGGUUUACAGCACUCACGUAUCAGUUGGCAGUUAACGGAAGUGCUACUGAUUGGUGAUAUGCCUACUCCCCCUUCACCUUCGAUCAUGAUUGUAAACUUCGUGAGGACAUCACCAAAGGCUGACAUUGGCAACAUGCUUCCUGUACAAUCUGCAGAACAACGAUGGAACAAAAUAAACACCUUUUCUUUAUAAAUUACCCGGCUUCAUGUAUUCCUUCAUAACAAUGCAAAGCAGCCUAAUACAAAUUGUCAGUGAGUAGGCAGAUUUUCAGAAUGUAUGGCUAAUUGGAAUUUCCAUGGUCCUAUAUGAGAAGAGAUUUGAAGUAAUUCCAUAGAAUGUUAUGAGCGCCCUGGGAGAAGAAAAAGGGUGAUUUUUCAGAAGGAAAAGAGUGUAAGAAAAACAUGAAAUUCAAUUUUCCAAUGACAGUUCUG
rnacentral:lncRNA from 1 species